CCUACGGGGGGCAGCAGUGAGGAAUAUUGGUCAAUGGACGAGAGUCUGAACCAGCCAAGUAGCGUGAAGGAUGACUGCCCUAUGGGUUGUAAACUUCUUUUAUAUGGGAAUAAAACGUUCCACGUGUGGGAUUUUGUAUGUACCAUAUGAAUAAGGAUCGGCUAACUCCGUGCCAGCAGCCGCGGUAAUACGGAGGAUCCGAGCGUUAUCCGGAUUUAUUGGGUUUAACGGGAGCGUAGGUGGAUUGUUAAGUCAGUUGUGAAAGUUUGCGGCUCAACCGUAAAAUUGCAGUUGAAACUGGCAGUCUUGAGUACAGUAGAGGUGGGCGGAAUUCGUGGUGUAGCGGUGAAAUGCUUAGAUAUCACGAAGAACUCCGAUUGCGAAGGCAGUUCACUGGACUGCAACUGACACUGAGGCUCGAAAGUGUGGGUAUCAAACAGGAUUAGAUACCCCUGUAGUC
rnacentral:rRNA from 1 species